rnacentral:rRNA from 1 species
UACAGAGGGUGCAAGCGUUAAUCGGAAUUACUGGGCGUAAAGCGUGCGCAGACGGUUGUGCAAGACAGAUGUGAAAUCCCCGGGCUCAACCUGGGAAUUGCAUUUGUGACUGCACGGCUAGAGUGUGUCAGAGGGGGGUAGAAUUCCACGUGUAGCAGUGAAAUGCGUAGAGAUGUGGAGGAAUACCGAUGGCGAAGGCAGCCCCCUGGGAUAACACUGACGCUCAUGCACGAAAGCGUGGGGAGCAAACAGG